rnacentral:misc_RNA from 1 species
GUAGGUGAACCUGCGGAAGGAUCAUUACUGAGACUGGGUGCUUCGGCGCCCGACCUCCAACCCUUUGUCUACCUUACCACUGUUGCCUCGGCGUGUUUGGGUCCCCGGUUGCAAAACUCGGGUUGACGCACGCUCGCCGACGGCCUAUAACCAAAACUCUUGUUUAAACACCGUUCAUCUGAGAAUAAAAACAAUAACUUCAAAACUAUUAACAACGGAUCUCUUGGUUCUG